AGUUUGAUCCUGGCUCAGGAUGAACGCUGGCGGCGUGCUUAACACAUGCAAGUCGAACGAUGAUCCCGGUGCUUGCACCGGGUGAUUAGUGGCGAACGGGUGAGUAACACGUGAGUAACCUGCCCCCGACUCUGGGAUAAGCCCGGGAAACUGGGUCUAAUACCGGAUACUCACUUCCUUCCGCAUGGAGGGAAGUGGAAAGAUUCAUCGGUGGGGGAUGGACUCGCGGCCUAUCAGUUUGUUGGUGGGGUAAUGGCCUACCAAGGCGACGACGGGUAGCCGGCCUGAGAGGGUGACCGGCCACACUGGGACUGAGACACGGCCCAGACUCCUACGGGAGCCAGCAGUGGGGAGUAUUGCACAAUGGGCGAAAGCCUGAUGCAGCGACGCCGCGUGAGGGAUGACGGCCUUCGGGUUGUAAACCUCUUUCAGUAGGGAAGAAGCGAAAGUGACGGUACCUGCAGAAGAAGCGCCGGCUAACUACGUGCCAGCAGCCGCGGUAAUACGUAGGGCGCAAGCGUUAUCCGGAAUUAUUGGGCGUAAGAGCUCGUAGGCGGUUUGUCACGUCUGCCGUGAAAGUCCGGGGCUCAACCCGGAUCUGCGGUGGGGUACGGGGCAGACUAAAGUGGAUG
rnacentral:rRNA from 1 species